rnacentral:misc_RNA from 1 species
CAGAGCAGACGAACUUGCAUCUCCAAGUGCACCGGCUGCCAGCUACUCGUACUCUACGUCAUGGACACGCAGCACCACCGCGGUCUCAUAACAGGUCCUCUUUGCCGCUUCCUUUGGCCGUGGACUGCGGCGAGAUCUGCCUUUUCCUUCCCUCUUUCCUAGGAUCUCUACCGAUUUGGUUCUUCCCAAUUCCCAUCCAGCCACGUUUGCAGUGACUUGCACCUCCGCUUUUGCGAGCCUGUUCGGUUGUUGUUAUCUCCGCUUUCUCCGAUCCCUGCAUCUCUUCUUGUGUUCGUCUUCCUUGACGCCGGCGUCAUCAUCGAUGACGGCGGACACGCCCAUGUGCGUGGUAUCCCAGACUGCAGUGCAGCCCCCCCUCCCCUCCCCCCACACCACCAGCUCUCUCCGCGUGGGGAGAAGCCGAGCGGCACCCCUCCCCUCUCCUCUAUCGGCCUGCCCAUGCCGAACCGCUUGUGGCGCUGACAGGGUCAGGGCGAUGUAUCGCUACCCCUGCCAGCGGCCAGGUGCUGGAUCGGCGUGGCAUCGCUGCGGCCUGCGACAGUGCACCGGUCUGACCCGUCCAUAUGAUGGGGGAAGUGCCAGCGCAAUGCGAAGAUGUCUCACCCGGGCCUCACUGCCGACUGGUGUGGGGAGCCGGAGCCCCCCUCCCGAGGGGGCCGCACCAGGGGUGGCGGCCUGCAUGGUGGGAGGAGCUGCUGUGAGGCGGCCUGUGAGGCGGGGUGGGUUGGUGGCGUUUGAGGGCAGGGGCCGUGCUCUCAGAUGGCUGAGUCGGCACCUCGCUGCAAGGUGCGUGUGCCUAGGGCCGCCAUCGCCCCACGCGAUGGAGGGCGUGUGACAGGGCCGGGGGUGGAGUGGAGCCCGAACUCAUGUUGUAUGGCAAAACGCACGCGCUACAAUGAGAUCCGCUGUCGAGGCGGAGCUCGUCUCUCUCAUUUUCCCUCGCUGCUGAAUCCCUUUUUUUGCUUCCCUCCUCCUCCCCCUCUCCCUCCCCCGGGUGAGCAACGCGAUAACUCACCACCAG